UACGAAGGGGGCUAGCGUUGCUCGGAAUCACUGGGCGUAAAGGGUGCGUAGGCGGGUCUUUUAAGUCAGGGGUGAAAUCCUGGAGCUCAACUCCAGAACUGCCUUUUGAUACUGAAGAUCUUGAGUUCGGGAGAGGUGAGUGGAACUGCGAGUGUAGAGGUGAAAUUCGUAGAUAUUCGCAAGAACACCAGUGGCGAAGGCGGCUCACUGGCCCGAUACUGACGCUAAGGCACGAAAGCGUGGGGAGCAACAG
rnacentral:rRNA from 1 species